UACGAAGGGGGCUAGCGUUGUUCGGACUUACUGGGCGUAAAGCGCACGUAGGCGGAUCGUUAAGUCGGGGGUGAAAUCCUGGAGCUCAACUCCAGAACUGCCUUCGAUACUGGCGAUCUUGAGUCCGGAAGAGGUGAGUGGAACUCCUAGUGUAGAGGUGGAAUUCGUAGAUAUUAGGAAGAACACCAGUGGCGAAGGCGGCUCACUGGUCCGGUACUGACGCUGAGGUGCGAAAGCGUGGGGAGCAAACAGG
rnacentral:rRNA from 1 species